rnacentral:rRNA from 1 species
UAACGAAUACUGGGCAAUGGGCGAAAGCCUGACCCAGCAAUGCCGCGUGCAGGACGAAGUCCUUCGGGAUGUAAACUGCUGUCACGGGUCCGCAAGCGAAGGGGUCCAACAGGCCCUGGAGUUGAGCAGCCCCAGAGGAAGCCUCGACUAACUCUGUGCCAGCAGCCGCGGUAAUACGUAGGGGGCGAGCGUUGUUCGGAAUCACUGGGCUUCAAGCGCGUGUAGGCGGCUUAGAAAGUGUCGUGUGAAAUCCCGCGGCUCAACCGCGGACCUGCACGGCAAACUACGUGGCCUGAGGUCGGGAGAGGUGCCUGGAACUCUAGGUGGAGGGGUGAAAUGCGUAGAUAGCUAGCGGAACGCCAGAAGCGAAAGCGGGGGACUGGGCUGAUUCUGACGCUGUGACGCGAAGGCGUGGGGAGCAAACG